rnacentral:lncRNA from 1 species
CUUCCACAUUGCCCUACAUAGAGAAUGUUUUCUUUAUCUUUUCCCAUUGAGUUGUAAAUAAUUGUUACCCUAAUCUUGCAGAUACAAUAAUGCUGCAUUGGUUCUGGUGUGUCAGGUUCAGUUCACAGGAACUACUCUCCUCUUCUCCUCUUCAAAGCAAGCAGCAUCAGCAUACUGAUCCUCGGCUGGAAUUCAGAGACCCGGAGACCUGGGCAGGAGACAGAAGCAGCAUUGUGUGAAAGGAAGAAAGAGAAACAAGAGGCAGCAUCCUGGGUGUGAAACCAAAAUAAUAUCAUCUGUCUUGUCCAAUUGAACUGACAAUGCAAGGGGGCCAACCAGAGAAAGAAUCUAUGUGGGCAGCCAAAGCUGGCGAAUAUAAUGGCAUCAGAGAGGGAGACAGCCAUCACAUAAGACUCCCUCCAUCAGACACGAAUGGUAUCAGCCAGGCAGUCCCAGAAGCCUGCAAGAGAAAAGCACCAUUCACUGACCCUUGUGUUUGGAGUGAUGGUAUGUUCUCCCAUACAUACAAAUGUGUCUAGAAAUCCCAAGGUAAGACAGCAUGUCUAGUGAGUUCUGGAGAAUGACUGCCCUGUGUCCACUUGGCUUAUGUGAUGGAGGCUACUGGAGCCUGAGGAUACAAUUGUCAGACACAUUGAAUAACAUCUGACAGAUGGAGCACAGAUGUGCAGUGACUUCCACCAAGGUCAGGCAACCUGUGGAUAAUCAGAAAAGAAACCAUUAGGGAUGCAAAAUCAAACUCUGCUUUUCUUCUUGAUGCUUGGGCACCACGUUGGGCAACUAAGUAGAGAAUUUAUUUUGACUUCUUUAGUCCCAUCAAGUCCCGUGGUUCUCUCUGACACCCCUCGCCACCUCAUUUCUUCAUCUACAGCCUGUGCUGGGAUGCUAGGCUGUUCCUCCCAUUAGGAGCAUCUCAGUGGGAGUAGAUUCAAGUAGAAGGAGAGAGGAAUCUGCAUGCAUUGGGAUGGUGGUGAUUUGUUCAUUUCUUAGAGUAAUCAGUAACAUCUUGAUUGAUGCAUUCUUAGUUUAAUGCUCUGGUUGUUAAUGCUUACUGAGAAUAUUCUUUUCUUCCAUUUUUGUCUCUUUCUUUUUUUCCAUCCUCCAAGUCAAAAUUCUUAGAGUUCUUUGACCCUGAAUAUAUUUUCAACUUAUGAACUGUAAUACAUCGAAAUCUAAAUUCCAUGUGUUGUUAAAGUAUAUCACAGGUGACACUGUUGUAGCUAUUCAUUUUAAAAUAAAUGUCUCUAAGGAGCUUAGGGUUCA